AUUGAACGCUGGCGGCAGGCCUAACACAUGCAAGUCGAGCGAGCGGCGGACGGGUGAGUAAUGUAUGGGAAACUGCCUGAUGGCGGGGGAUAACUACUGGAAACGGUAGCUAAUACCGCAUACCAUCAGAUGUGCCCAGAUGGGAUUAGCUAGUAGGUGGGGUAACGGCUCACCUAGGCGACGAUCCCUAGCUGGUCUGAGAGGAUGACCAGCCACAGUGGAACUGAGACACGGUCCAGACUCCUACGGGAGGCAGCAGUGGGGAAUAUUGCACAAUGCGCGCAAUCCUGAUGCAGCCAGGCCGCGUGUGUGAAGAAGGCCUUGGGGUUGUAAAGCACUUUCAGCGGGGAGGCGUUACCCGCAGAAGAAGCACCGGCGAACUCCGUGCCAGCAGCCGCGGUAAUUC
rnacentral:rRNA from 1 species